UGGGGAAUAUUGGACAAUGGGGGGAACCCUGAUCCAGCCAUACCGGGUGUGUGAAGAAGGCCCUCGGGUUGUAAAGCACUUUCAGCGGAGGAAGAACGCCUAGGGGUUAAUACCCGAUAGGAAAGACAUCACUCGCAGAAGAAGCACCGGCUAACUCCGUGC
rnacentral:rRNA from 1 species